GGAAAGUCAACCUCCAAUGUGUUAGACCAGUUAAUGUUACUGGUCACUUUGAGAGGUAACUAUGGAAAUCUAUAAAAAGCCAAAGCAGCUGUACCCACAGUUGAUGUGAACCUGGAAGACCACAGAAAGGACUUAGCAUCACAAGUCUUUGUGGUAGCUGAGGAGUGCCCCCUACAGUCUGAUAUGCACAGUGCAAGCAGAUGAAGAGGAAAGACGUGAGCUGCAGUAUUUCAGGAUUCUCAAUAAGGCAUCAAUGAAAGAAAGUUACAACAUCACAGAUCUUUCAAUGAUGUGCACAAUUGUGAUUUUCUCCUCCUGGUUAAUUGGAAACAACUGCUCCCCAGGACUAAUUACAACUCUAUCAGAAAGAAAGUGUGCAUGAUCCUAUGUCACAAACCUGAGGAUCUUGUUUUGCCCUCCCUUAUAUAAAUCCUCUGCAACGGUGAUUCCCACCAAGACACAGCAUACUCCUGACAACUAAUACCAGGGUUAUUUGGUUCUAAUACUAAAAGGAUUUGUAAAGAUUUUCUGUUUAUUUGGCAGUCUAAUGUUCAAAACAAAUGAGUAAUGUUGAACUCAAGAAACAUGUCUUGAUAUUAAAA